UACGAAGGGGGCUAGCGUUGCUCGGAAUUACUGGGCGUAAAGGGCGCGUAGGCGGAUAUUUAAGUUAGAGGUGAAAGCCCAGGGCUCAACCCUGGAAUAGCCUUUAAUACUGGAUAUCUUGAGUUCGGGAGAGGUGAGUGGAACUCCGAGUGUAGAGGUGAAAUUCGUAGAUAUUCGGAAGAACACCAGUGGCGAAAGGCGACUCACUGGCCCGAUACUGACGCUGAGGCGCGAAAAGCGUGGGGAGCAAACAGG
rnacentral:rRNA from 1 species